rnacentral:rRNA from 1 species
AGUGAACGCUGGCGGUAGGCCUAACACAUGCAAGUCGAACGGCAGCACAGUAAGAGCUUGCUCUUACGGGUGGCGAGUGGCGGACGGGUGAGGAAUACAUCGGAAUCUACUUUUUCGUGGGGGAUAACGUGGGAAAACUUCCGCUAAUACCGAAUACGCCCAACGGGUGAAAGCAGGGGUUCUUGGCACUUUGGGGGUUUGAUGGAGCCGAUGUCGGAUUAGCUAGUUGGCGGGGUAAAGGCCCACCAAGGCGACGAUCCGUAGCUGGUCUGAGAGGAUGAUCAGCCACACUGGAACUGAGACACGGUCCAGACUCCUACGGGAGGCAGCAGUGGGGAAUAUUGGACAAUGGGCGCAAGCCUGAUCCAGCCAUACCGCGUGGGUGAAGAAGGCCUUCGGGUUGUAAAGCCCUUUUGUUGGGAAAGAAAAGCAGCAGGUUAAUACCCCGCUGUUCUGACGGUACCCAAAGAAUAAGCACCGGCUAACUUCGUG